GGCCUGCAGGUGGCACGAGGCUGUGAAGGUGGCUGUGAGAUCACUUCUGUGUGUGGAGUUGACAGGCCAGCCCCAGAAAAGCAUUUCAUGCCUGAAGCAGCUGUUGGUCAGCCCUUGGCUCCUGGCUGGGAUCUGUGCAUACAGGAUCACAUCUGCAGUGUCCCUGAGAGGCUGACAGAAAGUGCCAGGUUGACGUGUUGCCUGCGGGAUCCUCUGUGCCUGAGCACCUGGUAGGGCCAUAGAGCAAGAAGGAGGUUUGUGUGAGGGAUUGUGAUGGCUCUUCUGUGUGAGUUCACAACUCAAUAGCAGGAGGGACAUGACUUGGUUGUGUCUACCUGGAAACUGGCAGGUGCCUUGGAAGAUGAUGGUGAGGUUCUGUCACAGAGUUAUCUAGGUCAGUCUAUGCCCGUGACAGGGGGCAGUAGGCCCCUGGCCCCCCUCCAAGCCCCACAAAAUGGGAAGGGUGAAGGAAGAGAGAUAGGAAGAUGGGAGCUGGGCUCAAGGAAGGAAAAAAGCAAAAACAGCAGCAAUGAUCUAUGGAGGAAAACUUAUUUUACUAUGAUAUUGGAAUGCAAGAUAACACAGUAUCAUAUAAUCUAAUUGAAACUGAGACUAAUAAACCAGGUAAGAUAGGAGAGAGAGAGAGUUCCUGAGUGAGUCAAACCUGAAAAGCUUGGAAGGGCUGGGAAAGCACCUCCAGCACCCACUGCCAGGCAGCAAGAGAGCACCCCAUCCAAAGGGCCAGGUGCCAUGACUUCAGUAAUGUACAGGGACAGGUACCUGGAACUGCAGCAUGAACACUUUAACUCCCAGUGCACUGCUUGAUGUUAUGGUGUGGAAUGCUGAAAACCAAAAACACAGAACCAUGACAUUGGAGUUACCUCUCUUUAUUCCAAGUUUAAUCGCACUUUACUCCAGGCCUACUCACACUUUACUCAAGUAUCUCUGACUCACGCUUUGCUCAAGAGUUACUCAAACUUUUCCUUAAAUUUACCCACACUUGACUCUGGGUUUACUCACACUUUUCUCUGGGUUUUACUGACACCCUACUCUGGCUGUGUACACCCUCUGUUCCAGGCCUACCCACACUUUACUCCGGGUUUUUCUCACACUUUAUUCUGAGUUCACUCACAUUUAAUCCUGAUUUAUUCAGAGUAUUCUCCGGGUUUUAUACACAAUUUUCCCCAGGUUUGCACACUCUUUACUCUGGAUUUACUCUUCCUCUACUGUUGUUUCUGCAUUUGAUAUUAAAAAGAGCAAUUGGUUUGAAGAAGUAGAACACAAUGCAUUCGUAUUCUGUAACAUCCUUAGAAAUAGUUGAUAUAAGAAGUAAAAUACUGUAUAUGUGAGCAGCGUGUUUUAGAAGCAUUGUUACUGAAUUAUGUUUUAUAUGUUAAUUCUUUCUUGUGAAACUGUAGUAGUUGUUAAAUGUUCCAAACAAUGUGUGUAUAGUAUUAGGGAUUAGAAAACAUCUUGUAGAGUUGUUCUGUUAGGAUAAGAAACUCCCUACAAAAGAAAAACAGAUUUAACAAACAUCAAAGAAGCCAGGGCCUCUACACAAGGCUGAACUGUCUGAUUCCGUGAGAAGUUUGGGAUGUGAUGAGCAGGCACCAAGAUCCUCCCCUCUGUUCUUCUCCCAAGCUUGUCUUUGUGGAAGGGAAGACAAGAAGGUAUCUGCAAAAGAAGUCUCAAGUGUGGAAUAAGUCCAUUAAUUAAUUACAGAUCUAUGCUUAGGCUGCAAAGAUUCAUGUUUGUCCAGUGUCUGCAUGUUUAGUGAAGCGUCGAGAAGAUUGUGAACCUAAAGCACUCAGCUAAUGAGGAACUAGGGGAGAAAGAGAUCAGCAUCGGGGAAUACGGAAUAAAAGAUGUAAUUCUGUUUUUCUGGGGUGCUCUCUUGCUUGCAGGAGGCCCUCCACUGCAAUUGUGAAUAAAAUCGGCUUCAUCAGA